UUUCUCCCCAGCAUACUUAUCUCCGCCAUCUUUUUCAUUUAUGUGCAAUCGUCUUAUCGACAUCGAUUUCGCCGACUGAGGGAGCUUAUCAUUGGGACUAUCUUAUCACGUGAUCGAUCAGGCGCCGCGUAUCGGAGAAAUCUUUUGUUAUCUGUCCCAAAAGAGUAUUGUUUCGUUUGGUAGUCAUGGAAAUAAGAUGGCGAGAUAGGAACAUGAACGAAAGAGUAUGUAAAAUAAAUACAGCAUUCGUCAGAUCUUCUCCCGAUAACAAAUUACCCUCAGAUUCCGCAUCCGAUUGAGUGAUCGGAGCCGGGAGACUUUUUUCUCGGUUCUCCAUUGUUGAAUUGCAGUAUCAUCGAAUUCAAUUAAUAAUAUGAGUACGGCACUUGUCAUUCUCAUACUAGAAACCGUCCCGAUGCAAUCUUCCGUAAUCUGAUCACAGCGCUACACCUACUAUCCUCUAUGUUUAAGUGGGUGAAUAAUCAAAUCCAUUUUUAACGAAAGUCUCAUUACGAGGACGAAUACGGAAAACAUUCAUCCUGAGUGAUGACGUCGUGAUGGAAGUUCGUCUGCCAUUUUUCACGACUUUUGUAAGAUUUUGGUGAGUUUGGAAAGCAGUAAUGAGGUAUAUUUGAUGGUAUCGUGGCGCUACGGUGAAAUAAAAACUGGCAGGGAAUUUGAAUUUCAUUACCAAUAAGGAGAAUGCCCGAUACUAUCUUCCUUAAAUUGUAUAGAAUUAAACAAAUUAUCAGG
rnacentral:sRNA from 1 species